UAUAAAAUGUUUUCCAAUUCCAGCUUCAGAUAUUCACAACCAAGCUUACAGGCACGACAAUCGGCGUAUCUGUUUUCGGUCUGUUUGUCAUCACAAAAGAGGCACUGCUUACGAUUGCUGGCGCCUACGUGACCUACUUCUUCGUCCUUACUCAGUUCAGAUUCUGAUAAAUGUUGACCUCAGAGCAGUCGGGUGGAAUUUAAAACAUUCUUCUCAAUUUGCUGCCGUGUUCAGACUCAAUAAAAGGGACAUACUGUCACUUCUUCGGUGUCAACCAUGUUUUCCUGGCAUACCGGACAGUGGGUGACAGAACUCACUUCUGACAACCUCGAACCUUCUAUACCACAUACAGCCCUCCUUCACGUUCUUACUGUACAGCAGAUAAUAUGUGGUAGCGUUAAAAUGAAAAUGCA